UUUGUGUUUCCAAAUUCUUUUGGCCUAUGCCUAAGUUCCCUCCUUUUAAGGGAUUUGAUCAUCCUUUCCCUUUACCUCCACCUUUGGAGCUUCCACCGUUUCCUAAACCAUGCCCACCACCUCCGGUUCCGGUGUACGAGCCACCCCCAAAGGUGGAACUUCCACCACCUGUCCCGGUUCACGAGCCACCCCCAAAGGUAGAGGUUCCACCACCCGUCCCGGUUCACGACCCACCGCCAAAGGUGGAGCACCCACCUCCGGUUCCGGUUUACAAGCCACCUCCAAAGGUAGAGCACCCACCUCCAGUUCCGGUUUACAAGCCGCCUCCAAAGGUAGAGCACCCACCUCCGGUUCCGGUUUACAAGCCACCUCCAAAGGUAGAGCACCCACCUCCGGUUCCAGUACACAAGCCACCAACAAUCCCUAAGAAGCCAUGCCCGCCUAAGUCGCCGAAGAUUGAGCUUCCACCGCCAGUGCCAGUUCACAAACCACCGACUAAGAAGCCUUGUCCGCCCAUGCCACCAAAGAAAGUUGAUCCGCCACCGGUUCCAGUCCACAAGCCGCCGCCGAAAAUAGUCCUUCCACCGCCGGUACCAAUCCACAAGCCGCCAAAGAAGCCGUGCCCGCCUAAACCGCCAAAGGUCGAGCUUCCACCACCAGUACCGGUCUACAAGCCACCACCGAAGAUAGAGCAUCCACCAAUCUAUGUGCCACCGGUGAUCCCGAAGAAGC
rnacentral:lncRNA from 1 species